GAAAGCAAAGAACAGAAAGCUCAGAGAAGUAUACCGAACAUUGAAAAAGAAAACUUUGUAUGUUAGAUAUGUUAGAGACAGACGACAUGGAAGAUGAUGAUACGAUGAAACUGAAUAAUCCACUUUGGUGGAACAAUGAAGAAAGAAGCUGGUGGAUACAAUUAUCUUAAUGUAUUGGGAUUUAAGAGUUUUUUUUUGUGGAAAAUGUCUGAGAUCAGUUGGAAGAAGUUUAAAGAUUUCAGUAAGGCUGAAGACAUUGUGACAAUUUUAAGAUUGAUUAUGUGUUUCAAUGAAAACCAAGAUAUGUAGCUGAACGAGAAGAAGGUGAUGAAACUGAUGCAGAUGAGAGAUCAUCCGAGGAUGGCGAUGAAUCUGAUGAUGAUAAGCCGCCAAGAGAAGAGGAUGAGCAUGAGGAAUCUGAGGAUGAAGCUCAUACAUCUAAAAAUGAGAAGCAAGAUAUUGGUGAUUAUCGGAAUGAUAAGCAUGAUCUAGGUGGUGAUUUCAAUGAAAACCAAGGUGCUAAUAAAGGCAUUGGUAAUGUGGUGGACAAUGGUAAUGAGAUUAUUUUUAGAUGUAGAAAACGGGGACUCUGUUUUUUUUUUAAACUAUA